rnacentral:rRNA from 1 species
GGCGUGCUUAACACAUGCAAGUCGAGCGAAGCACUUAAGUUUGAUUCUUCGGAUGAAGACUUUUGUGACUGAGCGGCGGACGGGUGAGUAACGCGUGGGUAACCUGCCUCAUACAGGGGGAUAACAGUUAGAAAUGACUGCUAAUACCGCAUAAGACCACAGGGUCGCAUGACCCGGUGGUAAAAACUCCGGUGGUAUGAGAUGGACCCGCGUCUGAUUAGCUAGUUGGUGGGGUAACGGCUCACCAAGGCGACGAUCAGUAGCCGACCUGAGAGGGUGACCGGCCACAUUGGGACUGAGACACGGCCCAAACUCCUACGGGAGGCAGCAGUGGGGAAUAUUGCACAAUGGGGGAAACCCUGAUGCAGCGACGCCGCGUGAAGGAUGAAGUAUUUCGGUACGUAAACUUCUAUCAGCAGGGAAGAAAAUGACGGUACCUGACUAAGAAGCCCCGGCUAACUACGUGCCAGCAGCCGCGGUAAUACGUAGGGGGCAAGCGUUAUCCGGAUUUACUGGGUGUAAAGGGAGCGUAGACGGCAUGGCAAGUCUGAAGUGAAAGCCCGGGGCUCAACCCCGGGACUGCUUUGGAAACUGUCAGGCUAGAGUGCUGGAGAGGUAAGUGGAAUUCCUAGUGUAGCGGUGAAUGCGUAGAUAUUAGGAGGA